AAAUAGAACUUUGCAGAGAGAGUUAAGAGGGCGUGAAACCGUUAAUUGGCAAACGAAUCGGAGCCACGAAGUCGAUGCGUUGGUGCUUAUUCAGGAUUGAUAGAAAUAUCAGUUUGUAUUUAGGCGCCAAUGUCAGCGUACACUGCAACCAGUUAGUUGGGAGGUGGAACCAGUUGGUUAGGGUUCGCCCUGAUUGAUGAACAAUUUGUCCGUCCGAGUUAGUAGUAGUGUGGUAAGAGCUUGCUCUAUGCGGACUACUGGACUUGUGGCGGGUGAACUACUUCCCCGUGCUGACUGGCAAAAUGAAAAAUGUUCUGAACAUUAUAAAAAAGCUGCUGUUACUACUAUGGGCUACAUGCUGGACUGUGGAGUUUUAAGCUCAGCAUUCUUGAAUUUGGACUUGCUUGCUACCAGUGGGGCAACCCCUGGUGCUUGUACAGCUUCCAUCUAAUCGGGUGUUGACUUGAUUUCACAGAUCUUGUAUGCGAUGAUCGGCCUGUGGUAGUGGAUGGUACGCAAACAUUGGCAGUGAGUAGGUCGGCUUUCCGAACGACCCGUCUUGAAACACGGACCAAGGAGUCUAAUUAGGCAGCAAGUCGAUCGGUCUUGAAUAGGCCAGAGUUUUUUAAUAAACUGUGAAGGCGCAGAGAAAUCAAAUCAUGUGAUGGUUGCCUUUUGCGAGGUAGCCGGCAACAUGUCCCUGGUUGAACUGGUGUUUUUUAAAAGAAACCCAGAGGCCGGAGGAAAGAGCUGCCUGAUUGGUACC
rnacentral:rRNA from 1 species